AAGCGCUUGCAAUCAGACUUGCAUGCAGUUGAUCAUCCGAUGUUCUCACCGGUGCACUCAAUUGCGUUUAGGCCAGCAUCGGUUCGGGUGGCAGGAUAAAGGCCUUGGGAAUGUAGCUCCUUUCGGGGAGUGUUAUAGCCCUCGGUGCAAUGCCGCCUACCUGGACCGAGGACCGCGCUUCGGCUAGGAUGCUGGCAUAAUGGUUGUAAGCGA
rnacentral:rRNA from 1 species